GAUGAAGAACGCAGCGAAAUGCGAUAAGUAGUGUGAAUUGCAGAAUUCAGUGAAUCAUCGAAUCUUUGAACGCACAUUGCGCCCUUUGGUAUUCCUUAGGGCAUGCCUGUUCGAGCGUCAUUUAAACCUUCAAGCUCAGCUUGGUGUUGGGUGACUGUCCGCUUCACCGCGGACUCGCCUCAAAAUUAUUGGCGGCCGGUACAUUGGCUUCGAGCGCAGCAGAAACGCGAACUCGGGCCCGUCGUAUUGGCUCCCAGAAGCUAUCUUCACAAUUUUGACCUCGGAUCAGGUAGGGAUACCCGCUGAACUUAAGCAUAUCAAUAAGCGGAUGA
rnacentral:misc_RNA from 1 species